GUGGGGAAUCUUGCGCAAUGGGCGAAAGCCUGACGCAGCCAUGCCGCGUGAAUGAUGAAGGUCUUAGGAUUGUAAAAUUCUUUCACCGGGGACGAUAAUGACGGUACCCGGAGAAGAAGCUCCGGCUAACUUCGUGCCAGCAGCCGCGGUAAUACGAAGGGUGCAAGUGUUAUCCGGAUUCAUUGGGUUUAAAGGGUGAGUAGGCGGAGCGUUAAGUCAGUGGUGAAAUCCUGCAGCUUAACUGUAGACUUGCCAUUGAUACUGGAGCUCUUGAGAACGCUUGAAGUUGGCGGAAUGUGCCGUGUAGCGGUGAAAUGCUUAGAUAUGACACAGAACACCAAUUGCGAGGGCAGCUCACUAAGGCGAUACUGACGCUGAGGCACGAAAGCGAGGGGAUCGAACAGGAUUAGAAACCCUAGGAGUCC
rnacentral:rRNA from 1 species